rnacentral:rRNA from 1 species
AGAGUUUGAUCAUGGCUCAGAACGAACGCUGGCGGCGUGCUUAACACAUGCAAGUCGAGUGCGCGUCUGUAGCAAUACAGAUGGCGCACGGCGCACGGGUGCGUAACACGUGGGUAACCUGCCCUUUAGUGGGGAAUAACCUCGCGAAAGCGAGGCUAAUUCCGCAUAAGAUCCGCAAGGAUGAAAGCCGUAAGGCGCUGAUGGAGGGGCCCGCGCACGAUUAGCUAGUUGGUAGGGUAACGGCCUACCAAGGCUAUGAUCGUUAGCUGGUCUGAGAGGAUGGCCAGCCACACUGGAACUGAGACACGGUCCAGACUCCUACGGGAGGCAGCAGUGGGGAAUCUUGCACAAUGGGCGAAAGCCUGAUGCAGCGACGCCGCGUGGGGGAUGAAGCUUCUCGGAGUGUAAACCCCUUUCGACCCGGACGAAUACCUCGCAAGAGGGGUGACGGUACGGGUAUAAGAAGCCCCGGCUAACUACGUGCCAGCAGCCGCGGUAAGACGUAGGGGGCCAGCGUUGUUCGGAAUUACUGGGUGUAAAGGGUUCGUAGGCGGUGUGGCAAGUCGGGAGUGAAAUUUCUGGGCUCAACUCAGAGACUGCUUCCGAAACUGCUGUGCUUGAGUGUGGGAGAGGCGCGUGGAAUUGCAGGUGUAGCGGUGAAAUGCGUAGAUAUCUGCAGGAACACCCGUGGCGAAAGCGGCGCGCUGGACCACUACUGACGCUGAGGAACGAAAGCUAGGGGACAAACAGGAUUAGAUACCCUUGUAGUCC